rnacentral:rRNA from 1 species
GAUGAACGCUGGCGGCGUGCCUAAUACAUGCAAGUCGAGCGAACAGACGAGGAGCUUGCUCCUCUGACGUUAGCGGCGGACGGGUGAGUAACACGUGGAUAACCUACCUAUAAGACUGGGAUAACUUCGGGAAACCGGAGCUACUACCGGAUAAUAUAUUGAACCGCAUGGUUCAAUAGUGAAAGACGGUUUUGCUGUCACUUAUAGAUGGAUCCGCGCCGCAUUAGCUAGUUGGUAAGGUAACGGCUUACCAAGGCAACGAUGCGUAGCCGACCUGAGAGGAUGAUCGGCCACACUGGAACUGAGACACGGUCCAGACUCCUACGGGAGGCAGCAGUAGGGAAUCUUCCGCAAUGGGCGAAAGCCUGACGGAGCAACGCCGCGUGAGUGAUGAAGGUCUUCGGAUCGUAAAACUCUGUUAUUAGGGAAGAACAAAUGUGGAAGUAACUAUGCACGUCUUGACGGUACCUAAUCAGAAAGCCACGGCUAACUACGUG